CCUACGGGUGGCUGCAGUGGGGAAUAUUGGACAAUGGGCGAAAGCCUGAUCCAGCCAUGCCGCGUGUGUGAAGAAGGCCUUCGGGUUGUAAAGCACUUUCAGUGGGGAAGAAAGCCUUGGGGCUAAUACCCUCGAGGAAGGACAUCACCCACAGAAGAAGCACCGGCUAACUCCGUGCCAGCAGCCGCGGUAAUACGGAGGGUGCGAGCGUUAAUCGGAAUUACUGGGCGUAAAGCGCGCGUAGGCGGUCUGAUAAGCCGGUUGUGAAAGCCCCGGGCUCAACCUGGGAACGGCAUCCGGAACUGUCAGGCUAGAGUGCAGGAGAGGAAGGUAGAAUUCCCGGUGUAGCGGUGAAAUGCGUAGAGAUCGGGAGGAAUACCAGUGGCGAAGGCGGCCCUCUGGACUGACACUGACGCUGAGGUGCGAAAGCGUGGGUAGCAAACAGGAUUAGAUACCCUAGUAGUC
rnacentral:rRNA from 1 species